AAUACCCUCUGGUUCCAUCCACGUCGCUGCAAAUGGCAAGAUUUCAUUUUUUGAUGGCUGCAUAAUAUUCAGUUGUGUGUGUAUAUAUAUACACACACACACACCACAUCUUCUUUAUCCAUUCAUCCGUUGAUGGACAUCUGGGCUCUUUCCAUCGUUUGGCAGUUGUGGACUAUUUCAUAUAUUUUUAAGAAGCAGCGCUGAGAACACAGUCUCCUUUUUAAAACCAGGAGGUAAUCAUUAAUCAUUGUUCCCAUUUUUGUGAUUUACUUGUAGCUUUUUAUUGUUAACCAAAGAAGGAUCACACUCUCUGUAUAAUUGUGCAUGCACCUUUUUCCCCUCUGUAGAAUAGCGCCCUAGAAGCGGAAUUAACUGCAUCAAAGGGCAUGCACAUCUCCAAAUUUGUUAGAUGACUACUGAUAACAUUUCAAAAGGCUGUGCCAAAAGUGCCCCCCAUCCUGGCCAACACAGCUUGAAUCCUAUCACAUGAAAGAUCUGCAAGUAUCCAUUUGUUCACCAAGCAGAACACACAGAUAUUUUACUUUACAACUUGUGCCGAAGAUGGUGGUACACCUGGUUCAUUCGGUGUCACGAAGGUUGCAUGUUUAAGGGGGAAAUGUGUCCAGUAUCCAGGAGCAAUUUUCUGAUGAACUCCCCAGUUCUCUGCAAUGUGGACUGAAGCUUGCGUCCUUCCAAUUUUAUUUGAAGAUCCUAAAAUUUAGAUUGUCUUUUCCAAACCCUAAUGUUCAGACGGCAUUUUUCAAACCUAAAAUUGGGGGUCCAUUCCUGUGGCCUGUAUCUUGAUCUUCACAGUCAUCAGAGGCCUUAGCUUCUUUUCCCAAACCACUGGGUGGCUUAGCGUCAUGUAAACGGGGGAGUAAGUCUCCCUUGUGGGGUCUUUGAGGAUGAUUCCAACAUAGCCACAGAAAUUACAGAGGCAUAUGAAAUGAGAGGAUCCAUUAUACUCACAGGGCCUAGAGGAGGGAGGCCACCUGGGAGGAGCACCCAGGGAGCAGACUGAACCAAGCAGGUGGGGAGCCGAGAGUAUGCACCCAUGGGCAAGUGCCUUUUUGGCGAUCAGGGUGGGCUAGUCAAGCAAAGGCGGGAGAUUUUAUUGGUGUGUUUGAGUGUCACUCAGUCACAGUCGAGGGCGGGGGUGGGGGUGGGGCGAAGAAGAGGAACUGUAGCAGGGACCAGCCUUAUUGAGCUGGUGGGUAUCUAUCUCGCUGCUAGGGCGGAUGCUCACAGCCUGUGUGUGGGGAUGUUGAGGCAUCAGAAAAAUGGGAAGUUUCAAAACCUGGCAAUACACUUAGCUAAGCCACAUCCUUUCCAAAGUACUUCAUCAAAUCUCUCCUUCUGCUCUACCCAAAAGAGAGGGUGCACUCCUUUAAAACAAAUGAGCAGGGGUGCCUGGGUGGCUCAGUCGGUUAAGCAUCUGCCUUCAGCUCAGGUCAUGAUCCCACGGUCCUGGGAUCAAGCUCUGCAUCGGGCUCUCUGCUCAGAGGGGAGCCUGCUUCUCCCUCUCCCUCUGCUGCUCCCCCCUGCUUGUGCUCUCUGUCAAAUAAAUAAAUAAAAUCUUUAAAAAAUAAAAAUAAAUAAAUAAAUAAAACAAA